rnacentral:rRNA from 1 species
GAUGAACGCUGGCGGCGUGCCUAAUACAUGCAAGUCGAGCGAACAGACGAGGAGCUUGCUCCUCUGACGUUAGCGGCGGACGGGUGAGUAACACGUGGAUAACCUACCUAUAAGACUGGGAUAACUUCGGGAAACCGGAGCUAAUACCGGAUAAUAUAUUGAACCGCAUGGUUCAAUAGUGAAAGACGGUUUUGCUGUCACUUAUAGAUGGAUCCGCGCCGCAUUAGCUAGUUGGUAAGGUAACGGCUUACCAAGGCAACGAUGCGUAAGCGACCUGAGAGGGUGAUAGGCCACACUGGAACGGAGACACGGUCCAGACUCCUACGGGAGGCAGCAGUAGGGAAUCUUCCGCAAUGGGCGAAAGCCUGACGGAGCAACGCCGCGUGAGUGAUGAAGGUCUUCGGAUCGUAAAACUCUGUUAUUAGGGAAAAACAAAUGUGUAAGUAACUAUGCACGUCGUGACGGUACCUGAUCAGAAAGCCACGGCUAACUACGUG